GACGAACGCUGGCGGCGUGCCUAAUACAUGCAAGUCGAACGAACUCUGGUAUUGAUUGGUGCUUGCAUCAUGAUUUACAUUUGAGUGAGUGGCGAACUGGUGAGUAACACGUGGGAAACCUGCCCAGAAGCGGGGGAUAACACCUGGAAACAGAUGCUAAUACCGCAUAACAACUUGGACCGCAUGGUCCGAGCUUGAAAGAUGGCUUCGGCUAUCACUUUUGGAUGGUCCCGCGGCGUAUUAGCUAGAUGGUGGGGUAACGGCUCACCAUGGCAAUGAUACGUAGCCGACCUGAGAGGGUAAUCGGCCACAUUGGGACUGAGACACGGCCCAAACUCCUACGGGAGGCAGCAGUAGGGAAUCUUCCACAAUGGACGAAAGUCUGAUGGAGCAACGCCGCGUGAGUGAAGAAGGGUUUCGGCUCGUAAAACUCUGUUGUUAAAGAAGAACAUAUCUGAGAGUAACUGUUCAGGUAUUGACGGUAUUUAACCAGAAAGCCACGGCUAACUACGUGCCAGCAGCCGCGGUAAUACGUAGGUGGCAAGCGUUGUCCGGAUUUAUUGGGCGUAAAGCGAGCGCAGGCGGUUUUUUAAGUCUGAUGUGAAAGCCUUCGGCUCAACCGAAGAAGUGCAUCGGAAACUGGGAAACUUGAGUGCAGAAGAGGACAGUGGAACUCCAUGUGUAGCGGUGAAAUGCGUAGAUAUAUGGAAGAACACCAGUGGCGAAGGCGGCUGUCUGGUCUGUAACUGACGCUGAGGCUCGAAAGUAUGGGUAGCAAACAGGAUUAGAUACCCUGGUAGUCCAUACCGUAAACGAUGAAUGCUAAGUGUUGGAGGGUUUCCGCCCUUCAGUGCUGCAGCUAACGCAUUAAGCAUUCCGCCUGGGGAGUACGGCCGCAAGGCUGAAACUCAAAGGAAUUGACGGGGGCCCGCACAAGCGGUGGAGCAUGUGGUUUAAUUCGAAGCUACGCGAAGAACCUUACCAGGUCUUGACAUACUAUGCAAAUCUAAGAGAUUAGACGUUCCCUUCGGGGACAUGGAUACAGGUGGUGCAUGGUUGUCGUCAGCUCGUGUCGUGAGAUGUUGGGUUAAGUCCCGCAACGAGCGCAACCCUUAUUAUCAGUUGCCAGCAUUAAGUUGGGCACUCUGGUGAGACUGCCGGUGACAAACCGGAGGAAGGUGGGGAUGACGUCAAAUCAUCAUGCCCCUCAUGACCUGGGCUACACACGUGCUACAAUGGAUGGUACAACGAGUUGCGAACUCGCGAGAGUAAGCUAAUCUCUUAAAGCCAUUCUCAGUUCGGAUUGUAGGCUGCAACUCGCCUACAUGAAGUCGGAAUCGCUAGUAAUCGCGGAUCAGCAUGCCGCGGUGAAUACGUUCCCGGGCCUUGUACACACCGCCCGUCACACCAUGAGAGUUUGUAACACCCAAAGUCGGUGGGGUAACCUUUUAGGAACCAGCCGCCUAAGGUGGGACAGAUGAUUAGGGUG
rnacentral:rRNA from 3 species